rnacentral:tmRNA from 1 species
GGGGACGACAGGACUCGACAGGCGAAGCCGGGUGCGGAUUGCGGGCCGAGGUGUCGUCACCCUCGUUAAUCAGGCGGCAACAAAGUAACUGGCGACCGACAACUCGCCCUCGCGGCCUAACUAAGCCGUGACGUGGCCAGCCACCUCGCCCCGACGGGUGGCUGAACCGCGACGCAAUGCCGGGGUGCUGCGGACUGCCG